ensembl:snoRNA SNORA70 Small nucleolar RNA SNORA70
UUAAUACAUUUAAAGAAAUAAUGGCUGUGAAUAGUAGCCUUCUCAGCAGUGUAUUUAACCUGUUGCUUGUAUGGGUUGUCUUAAGAAACCUUGGAGAGAGCC